AUGUGCAUCUGUAAUGAGGCGAAGGUGGAAUGUUUUUCAAGGAAAAUUGGAUCAUUUGAAAAAUGGCAAGGUGAAGCAGAGUUGUCCUUUUUUUCUCACAGAGAAGGAGAUGAAGUGGGACUGACAGAAUCAUUCUUUACAUUUAUUUCAGAGGACAUAGAAAAGAAAUGGCUUCCAUCAGUGGAACUAAGGGCAAACAAAGACUUUUCAGCUGUGCUGCCUAUGACCAGAGAUAAAUGUUUGACUGAAGGCUAUUCUCCCAGCUGUAGCAUCCUAAUGAUCUGCAGCCGUCACACUCCCAUAUCUCUUGUGGUACAUGAGGCCCUCUGACACACUCGACGCUCUGAUCCAUCGGUCAGAGCACAGCCAUAUGUUGUGGGUCCACCAUUUUUCUGCAGGUCACAAUUAUGGCAUGAACAAAACAAAAAUUCAAGCCUAUUUUGUGGUGUUUUUGCAAACGGGUCUGCACAACACAUUGAUCUCACAACGGCUUACGCUCAGUAAUGACGACAGAUUGUUGAGGCCUCGGACUGGGUGAGAUACUAUCAACAUUAAUAUUGCAAUUUAUCGAACCAAAGAGGAUUAAUUAUGUUUAUCUUUUAAUCCUCAAAUGGAGCUGUGUGCAUGCCCCUAAAUAAGCGGGAGCAAUACUCCUGGGCUUCCAGUUCUGUCAAUAACAAGAAGGGUUAGCUCCCUGUCAAACACUGUACAGUAAAAUUAGCUCUUAAUGUCAUGGCUUUCUAACUAUGAACACCCUUGCCCUCCCUUAGCUCUCUAAAUGAGCAGCAAGCCACUGCUGCCGAGCUAACUGGCGGGAGAGUGAACCACCAUUAGACUUGCAAUUACUGCCACCCCCAUUAAAAAGAAGAAAAAAUGGUCCCUGACUCAGCCACAGAAAUCAAAUGAAAUACAAAUAUGAGCUUUAACGGUAACCUUCGGCCACAGCAUCCUUAUUAGCUGUAUGCUUUCCUCUCUCUCUCUUUCUCUCCGCAUAAUAUCACUUGAGCCGGCAACCGAACGAUGCCAGUCAUUAAAAACAUAUCCAUCUCACUUAGGCUGUGCAUUAAGACUAUCCCACGUGAGGUAUUUUGUACGGCUACAUCUCUAUUCAGACUUAUGACAAAACCUGGCAUAGUAAGGUAAUGAUCCACAUACUCCACAGAUGGUAAAUGGGCACCCACUAUCACUGAUUGCCUAAUUAAAAAGAAUUCUCACAUAACAUCCAUAUUAUUUUCAAUUAUCUUGCUUCCAUGUACCUCAGCAUUCACAACAGCAUCUAUACAAUCCACAAACUUGAUUCGGUAGCAGUGUAAAGAGAAGGUCUCUUAGGAUUUUUGCGGUUUUGAUUUGCUUGCAUUGACAGGCUGUUAAGGAAAUGUACUGUACUAGCACUCUUCCAGCAGUGUACAAAGACAAAUCUGGCUACAAACUUUAGAGUAACUUCCUGGCAUAUCAAGGUUAACUUUGGUGCCCGUCUGCUCAGCUUCUCUCUAGCUACCUACUCCCAUUGAUUUUGAUUAGCCACUGUCCCCCCCAGUUGGCUACAGGGGAACGUUGGUAAUGACAGCCCCUCAGAUGUCUUCAUGUCAGUGGCAGAGCCAUCUGUCAGCCUGCAGUGCUGUGCAAAAGUGGCUGACGUGCCACCUCUGUGUCUGAUGGAUGGAGCCUGUCUCUGUAUUGCCAACCUCUUUUAUCUGCUGAGGCAGGCCAAUCCCUCUGGAUCCACCUAUAAUCAGCUGGACCUCUUCUGAUUCUCGACGAGAGCCCCAACCCCACAUCUAUUCAUGCUUAACGUCAGACAAUACCAGUCUUGUGUAUUUGUCUCCCGUUUUUGAUAGGCAAUCAAAUCAAUCAAAAAGCUAUUUAACCAUGAUAGAGAUAGCAAAGCAAUAGUGAGCUAGAAGAGACUAAAAAUAGACUUGCUACUGUUGAUGACCAGUAUGACAUAUAGUAGCACGAGGAGAAGCUGCACGGAGUGAGUGGGAGAUACGAGAUUGUAGGUGCUUUUGUGUCAAAAUCCUCUUCAGGAGCAACAGGACCUCAAAACUCUCCUCAUGCAAGACCAGAUGAUAACAUAUUCCACCACUACUGAGCAUUUACACACACUGAGUUGCUACCUUUUCUACUGUGUUUCUGAUUACCUUUGCUUACUUUUCCUGUGAUAACAUGGUGUGGUCAUACACAUCUGGAGAUAUUGUGGGGAUGGAGAUCCCCCUGCAGGACCUUAUCUAAUUUUAGAUUCAGCAGGUCUUUGUUUGGUCUUGGUCGCCUCUGGUUGAAAAAGGCCAUAACUACCACCAGUGAUACUGGAAUCCACACCAAUUGAAUUCCUAUUUGUCCUCUCUUUUGAAUUCACUUUGGUCAAUUGGUGAAGACCAGAAACGUCUGUUGGAUGGAUUUCCAUAACAUUUUAGACAGACAUCCAUGGUCUCUAUUAGAUGAAUCUUUGUGACUUUAGUGCUCCACUGACAUUUCAUCUUGCGUCACCACCAGGUCAAAGGUUUUAGUUAUACAAUGAAAUAUGACAACCGAAUGGAUGGAUUGCCACAAAAUUUUGGAAAAACAUUCAGACAGCCUAAUAAAGUUUUCUCUAAAUCCACCAAGAGGUUCACAUUUGUGGUAAUCCCUUAACUUUUUAUCUAGCACCAUCAUCAGGUUUAAUGUUAGUAGGGUCAUAAACCCCACUGAUGACAUUCCUCUCAGUCUUAGCUGUACUUUGUGUUUUGUGCUAAUUAGCUAAUGUUAGUAUGCUAACACACUAAACUAAAAUGGUCAACAUGGUAUACCUGCUAAACAUCAGCAUGUUAACAUUGUGAGCAUGUUAACAUACUAAUGUUUUGACUGCAAAACAGUCACAGAGCCACCCAAACCCUAAUUCUAGCCCUGCAGACUUUAUUCUUAUUUUAGUUUGGACUUCAUUAUUUGACUUGGGUUCUGAUAUCCACAGAGCCAAAAUCUUCAAACUACACAAGGAAUGACACCAUGUACAUAUGAUUAGCUACAAUGUACCCAUAAAAAUCAAUCUCACUGAGCUAUCUGCAGAUAUGCCACUUCUAGCAAGAAUGUCUUCCACACAUAGAGCCAUUGCCAGCUGAAAUGUCAAGGGUAAGAUCUGGCACAACAGCGAUGUGAUGGUUCUUAGGGAAUAUGAGCUCUUCUUCUCAGAAAACGGUCUAAUUUAUCCCCUCGAUAGCUCUUGAACUCUUAAUGACUUCACCUCAGCUCCAGUUCACGGCCCUUCGUGGCUAUGUGAGCUGGUCUGUGGCUUUCUGUAGUCUAAUAAAACCUUAAGUGAGCAAAAAUGUCUUUCAUAAAAUGUGUCGGUUCAACAGCUUUAUCAUCCUGGCUGAAGCAAAUAUCAAAUGGGAAAGUUUCAUUGGCACUCUAUCAAAGUCUCUCGUAAAAUGGCCAAUAAAACUUUACAUGGUCCAUGAAAUCAUCUAUUUAUUAGGAAUAGUUACACUAGCCAAAUGUGUGUUGAUUUCUUAAACCCUUCAUGAAUUAUUGAGCAAUGCAUAGUUGUAGGAUAUAUUUAAAUCUUAGUUCUCACACUUUAGCAAGUGAAUCAUCUUUCAUUGGCUCAGUGGUGUUGCUGGAGGUGAGAAAGAUAAGCUGCACAAACCUUUCCAAAAAUAUGGACAAACAGCAGCAAGUGGGGAAAAGACUAAAUUGUUCACUAGAAAAAUUCCUUAAAGCUUAUUAAAAAGACAAAAAAAU
rnacentral:lncRNA from 15 species